AAUCGGAGAGUUAGCUCUUUGAGGCCGGCUGCCCUUAAAUCCUCUCACUUCACACAUAAGGAAACUGAGGCCGUGACGGCCAAGGACUCGCCUAAGGUCGUUCCGUAUUCCACCUGCUCCUCUCUCCCGAAGCGGGGGCACUCUUCCCUGACCCCAGGGACGACUCUGAAGCCAGUUCUGGAGGAGGGCCCCCAAUUAGAAAAAUGCCAGGGAGGAAUAGCAACCCUGACCACUUAACACACUGUGAUUGGGGCAACAAAAAUCUUCACCUGAGACCCAACUCCGCUGUUCUGCUUCCUCGGUGGAAGCCACACGAACCCCACUGGUACAGCGGCAGCGAUAGACCCCAGGCGGCUGAAAGCUUAUUUGGAGCGUCCCGGAGCAUGUCGAUUGUGCUGUGCCAGUGCAGGGGGAGUACCCCUCAGUUCUGGCCCCAGGCUCCAUUCUUUGCUAACCGGUCCAAGAAGUGGGGGGGCAGUCAGUGCCAGUGGGUUUAGAACUCCUCAGCCGCGGCUUCAACAUCACACACAACCAGAAAGCAAACCUUCAUGAGGCUGAGAGGCAGGCCGCCCUGCCAAUACAUUCCAUCACAUGGCACCCUCGGAGCGUUCCUAUUUUAGGGACUGGUUGGAAGACAGCUAGAAACAUAGAAAGCAGGCAAAAUGUUUGCUGGCUUUACUCCUUUCCUUUGAGGGCAUCGUCAUGCAUCCUAGGGGGGAAAAAUCUGCACAGAUCCUGGAAAUCAAGAACUUCGUGAACCAGAGGAAGGGGGCUGUUUGCCAGUACUAGUCUACAGAGGCCUCUGAUCUUUUCACAUUUAAUGCCCCAGCAUCUAGAGCUGAGCAUGCAGAAGUCGCCACACACACAAAUGUCCAGCCCCCUCCCUAGAGGUGGGUCAGACGAGCCUGGAAGUACAUUUCCACAUGAAGUGCGGCACUUGCUAUAGACUUUUGAGUUCCGGCACAAGAUCCCAGUCUUGGCUUCUUGGACCUGAGUUCGAAUCCCAUUUCUAUGACUGAGCUCCGUGGAUAACCUUACAGCAAGUCACUGACACUCUCUGAGCUUCCCUUUCCUUCAGCCACCACCUAGGAACGUCACACAGGCUGACGGGGUUACUAAAUGAGACAGUGUGUGUGGAAGGUGGACCAUCAAUAUUGGCCCCCAGUCCUCCCUCCAUCACAUCAAGUAUGGGUUUUGCUCUUUGUCAACGGUGGUACUUUACACCUACAGACAUACACGUGAGGUCUCAGCCUUUUCAUCUGAGUCUACUGGUAGAAGGUUUUCUGAAUGGAAAUGGACAAUUCAAAGAAUCGGAAGAGGAGCAAGUGUUUCCACCCUCUGCUGAGAUUUCAGUCCUUCUUGCACUUAAGCACUGCUCUAAAUGUGAAGCGACAAUUCCUCAUCUGUGGCACGAGGAAGACAAGGCUUAGUAAACGGACUUACCCUGUGCAAGGAAUGGAACUGGACGGGAACCCAGGUCUGAACGUCGAAGUCUGUGCUCUUUCCUGCCUCUUGCUCCCCUAGGGUGGGUGGAAAAGAGUCUUGGGUUUACACCUGCCUGGCCCUCUCAGAGCACCAUUUGCGAGCCAGUUCUGCCAAGUCCGACUGUACUUUUCCUCUACCCCUUCUCC
rnacentral:lncRNA from 1 species